ACCCCCACAAAACUUCUCCUUCCUUCUUCCGAGGCUCUUCUCCUCCUCGCCUCCCGGCGACACCGGCGGCGCGUCCUCCGAAGUUACCCCGAGGAGGAAACUAGGAAGAGCUUGGAAUAGUGCAUUGAACCGCCCGCGGGUCAAAUGAUCAAUGCUCCAGAGAUGUGUUAGUCACCCUCAGGUCAUAAUUAAGAUGGAAAACACCAUUCAAAGCAAGGGACAGCCCAAAGUCCUCCAAGAAGUUCUGCAAGCCGACAUGCUGGCUCCUGAAGACCUUACAGAACAGAGAACUACUUCAGAAGGAACUGGGGGAAAUGAUGCUUGA
rnacentral:lncRNA from 1 species